UGACUCUCGGCAACGGAUAUCUCGGCUCACGCAUCGAUGAAGAACGUAGCAAAAUGCGAUACUUGGUGUGAAUUGCAGAAUCCCGUGAACCAUCGAGUUUUUGAACGCAAGUUGCGCCCGAAGCCUUUUGGCCGAGGGCACGUCUGCCUGGGCGUCACGCA
rnacentral:rRNA from 1 species